UACGGAGGGUGCGAGCGUUGUCCGGAAUCAUUGGGCGUAAAGGGCGCGUAGGUGGCCCGGUCAGUCCGUGGUGAAAGCGCGGGGCUCAACCCUGCGUCGGCCAUGGAUACUGCCGCGGCUCGAGCACUGUAGAGGCAGGCGGAAUUCCGGGUGUAGGCGGUGGAAUGCGUAGAGAUCCGGAAGAACGACCGGUGGCGCAGG
rnacentral:rRNA from 1 species